AUGGGCCAGGGAGAGGAGGGGAGGGUAUGGGCCAGGGAGGGGAGGCGAAGGACUGGGCCAGGGAGGAGGGUAUGGGCCAGGGAGGGGAGGCGAAGGACUGGGCCAGGGAGGAGGGUAUGGGCCAGGGAUGGGAGGCGAAGGACUGGGCCAGGGAGAGGGGGGAGGGUAUGGGCCAGGGAGGGGAAGGGUAUGGGCCAAGCAGGGGAAGGACAUGGGCCAGGGUGGGGAAGGACAUGGACCAGAGAGGGGAAGGACAUGGGCCAGAGAGGGGAAGGACAUGGGCCAGGGAGAGGAAGGACAUGGGCCAGAGGGGAAGGACAUGGGCGAGGGAGAGGAAGGACAUGGGCCAGAGAGGAAGGACAUGGGCCAGGGAGAGGAAGGACAUGGGCCAGGGAGAGGAAGGACAUGGGCCAGGGAGAGGAAGGACAUGGGCCAGGGAGAGGAAGGACAUGGGCCAGGGAGAGGAAGGACAUGGGCCAGGGAGAGGAAGGACAUGGGCCAGAGAGGGGAAGGAAAUGGGCCAGAGGGCGGAAGGACAUGUGCCAGAGAGGGGAAGGACAUGGGCCAGAGAGAGGAAGGACAUGGGCCAGGGAGAGGAAGGACAUGGGCCAGGGAGAGGAAGGACAUGGGCCAGGGAGAGGAAGGACAUGGGCCAGGGAGAGGAAGGACAUGGGCCAGAGAGGGGAAGGACAUGGGCCAGAGAGGAGAAGGACAUGGGCCAGAGAGAGAGGAAGGACAUGGCCGAGGGAGAGAGGAAGGACAUGGGCGAGGGAGAGAGGAAGGACAUGGGCGAGGGAGAGAGGAAGGACAUGGGCGAGGGAGAGAGGAAGGACAUGGGCGAGGGAGAGAGGAAGGACAUGGGCGAGGGAGAGAGGAAGGACAUGGACGAGGGAGAGAGGAAGGACAUGGACGAGGGAGAGAGGAAGGACAUGGACGAGGGAGAGAGGAAGGACAUGGACGAGGGAGAGAGGAAGGACAUGGGCCAGGGAGAGAGGAAGGACAUGGGCCAGGGAGAGAGGAAGGACAUGGGCGAGGGAGAGAGGAAGGACAUGGGCGAGGGAGAGAGGAAGGACAUGGGCGAGGGAGAGAGGAAGGACAUGGACGAGGGAGAGAGGAAGGACAUGGACGAGGGAGAGAGGAAGGACAUGGGCCAGGGAGAGAGGAAGGACAUGGGCCAGGGAGAGGAAGGACAUGGGCCAGGGAGAGGAAGGACAUGGGCCAGGGAGAGGAAGGACAUGGGACAGGGAGAGGAAGGACAUGGGCCAGGGAGAGGAAGGACAUGGGACAGGGAGAGGAAGGACAUGGGCCAGGGAGAGAGGAAGGACAUGGGCCAGGGAGAGAGGAAGGACAUGGGCCAGGGAGAGGAAGGACAUGGGCCAGGGAGAGGAAGGACAUGGGCCAGGGAGAGGAAGGACAUGGGCCAGGGAGAGGAAGGACAUGGGCCAGGGAGAGGAAGGACGUGGGCCAGGGAGAGGAAGGACGUGGGCCAGGGAGAGGAAGGACAUGGGCCAGGGAGAGAGGAAUGACAUGGGCCAGGGAGAGAGGAAUGACAUGGGCCAGGGAGAGAGGAAGGACAUGGGCCAGGGAGAGAGGAAGGACAUGGGCCAGGGAGAGAGGAAGGACAUGGGCCAGGGAGAGAGGAAGGACAUGGGCCAGGGAGAGGAAGGACUGGGCCUGAGAGGGGAGGGUAUGAGCCAGGGAGGGGAAGGACUGGGUCAGGGAGGGGAAGGACUGGAUCAGGGAGGGGAAGGACUGGGUCAGGGAGGGGAAGAACUGGGUCAGGGAGGGGAAGAACUGGGUCAGGGAGGGGAAGAACUGGGUCAGGGAGGGGAAGGACUGGGCCAGGGAGGGGAGGGUAUAGGCCAGAGAGGGGAGGGUAUGAGUCAGGGAGGGGAUGGACUGGGUCAGGGAGGGGAGGGUAUAGGCCAGAGAGGAGAAGGUAUAGGCCAGAGAGGGGAGGGUAUGAGCCAGGGAGGGGAAGGACUGGGUCAGGGAGGGGAAGGACUGGGCCAGGGAGGGGAAGGACUGGGCCAGGGAGGGGAGGGUAUGAGCCAGGGAGGGGAUGGACUGGGUCAGGGAGGGGAGGGUAUAGGCCAGAGAGGAGAAGGUAUAGGCCAGAGAGGGAAAGGUAUAGGCCAGAGAGGGGAGGGUAUGAGCCAGGGAGGGGAAGGACUGGGUCAGGGAGGGGAAGGACUGGGCCAGGGAGGGGAAGGACUGGGUCAGGGAGGGGAAGGACUGGGCCAGGGAGGGGAAGGACUGGGUCAGGGAGGGGAAGGACUGGGCCAGGGACUGGGCCAUGUUUUUUUUUAUUUGAUUUAUUAG
ensembl:lncRNA